CAGGACGGACUCUCCGGCUUACAGCACUUACUGGAAAAUCUUUAGAAAUGGAAGUGGAAAAAGUAGGCAAUCCAAAUAUGUCAAAUAAUCUAACUUCUCCGAUUUAUUGUCAGCAUGUCAGACAUCCACACCUCUCGUUGGUACAA